UCUCUAAUCAAUGAAACUGAUCUCUCCGUGAAGAAGCGGAGAUUUAACUAUAAGACGAGAAGACCCCAUGGAGCUUUAAACCUGACUACACCCCUAUCUAUUAUACCCUUAAAUCAACAGGGCCUUUGUCUGUCGGUUUUAGGUUGGGGUGACCGCGGAGCAUAAAUUAACCUCCAAGAUGAACUGGACUAACCCAUUAUCUAAGAUUUACACCUCAAAGAAUCAGCACACUGACAUAAAAUGAUCCGACAUUCGAUCAACGAACCAAGUUACCCUGGGGAUAACAGCGCAAUCUACUUCAAGAGCCCCUAUCGACAAGCAGGUUUACGACCUCGAUGUUGGAUCAGGGUAUCCUAGUGGUGCAACAGCUACUAAAGGUUCGUUUGUUCAACGAUUAAAACCCU
rnacentral:rRNA from 1 species